ACAAAACAAGUUGUGUCCAGAGGACAUCGGAGGAGAAUCCACCGCGGUAGCCUUAUCACGUGACCACCUUGUCUGCUGCUGGCUGAGUGAAGCGUGUUAGCAGGUUUUUCUAUUUUGUACAUACAGAGUUUUGUAUAUACUGUAUAUGAUGAGCUCGCUGGGCAACGAAAAGGCCCGGGGCCCUCGUGAAAAAGUGCCGCCUGCUGCCACUCACAUGUCUCAACCACAGAAACAGAUACAGGCUACCGCUGAGCAAAUUCGGCUUGCCCAGAUGAUCUAUGACAAGAAUGAUGCUGACUUUGAAGACAAAGUUAACCAGUUGAUGGAGGUUACUGGCAAGAACCAGGAUGAAUGUAUGGUCGCGCUUCAUGACUGCAACGAGGAUGUGAGCAGAGCCAUCAACUUCCUCCUGGAGAGCACCUCGGAUAUGACCUCAUGGGAGACAGUAGGGAAGAAGAAGCCGCUGAUGAAGGAGGGCCCUUCAGAAAGCAAGGAGAACAAGGAGAACCGGGAGAAGAAAGGCGACAGGGAGGCUAGCAAGGGCCGUGCGACAUCAAACCGCAAGGGCAAAGGGGCCAACCGAAGCCGACAGGGUGCAGUUCGUCCAGAGGAAAAUGGCGUGGAGGUGACACCAGUGGACAGAGGCUCCGAUCGAGGAAGGAGGGCAAAAGGUGGUCGAGGGUCUGGCAGUCGAGGCAGAGGCAGAGGACCAGCAGCAAGCAGGUUCUCAGCCCAGGGCAUGGGAACCUUCAAUCCCGCAGACUAUACCUCAGAGGCGGGGACGGGAACCACACAGAGUGAGGCUUGGGACACAGCGGCCAACAACAAUACAGAUGACAUGGCUAACUGGAGGAACCCGAUUGAAGAAUAUGGACCUGAGGACUGGAAUGAAGAUGUUAGUCUCUCGGAGACCAAAGUAUUCACUUCCUCAUGCGCGCCUCCUGCUGAGAAUCACAUCACUUCUGGCCAAAGUUUGGACCUAGUCUCUCUGCUGCAGAAGCCUGUGGUCGGUGGAAGAGAAGCACCCUCCUCCUCACAGAGUCUGGUCUUUACCAACUCUCACCACCACCAACCACCACAGCAGCAACAUCAGCCUCCCCCCAGCCGUAGCACCACCGGUGGCACCAGCUAUGCUCAUGCUGCCCUGACAUCAGUUCUUGGAGCUGGUUUUGGAGACCUGAGCCAAGCCAAGAGGCCUCCACCUAGUGCAGGAGCUCAGAUACUGGAACAGCUUAAGGGUCCUGGUUUGGGUCCUCUGCCGUCGUCCCAGGUGGCACAUCCAGCCAGCACCCAAGGAGGCAACCCUUCAAUUAGCCGCCUGCCAAGCCUGGGACCAUCUGUACCUCCACCCUCUUCCUCCAGUUGGGACAUGAAGGCGCCAGAAUCUAACGCCGCCACCACACUAUCCUCACAGUUUAGCCGUGAGUUUGGCCUCCAGCCAGAGCCUUCACUUGUACUGAGCCAGCUCAUUCAGAGGCACACUGGCCCCUCCUUGCCACUGGCACGUCAGCCCAGUCCACCGUCUCAACAACAAGCGGCCCCUGCGCCACUCUCCUCUGCUCAGCAGCACAGCAGCUCGUUGGCACAGGCAGGCCCAGUGUUGGCAGCUGCUGGUCUCAAGCAUCCGUCCCCCAGCACAGGUCUGGAUGCUCAGGGCUGCGGGACACCACAGCAGCAGCGGGCUCAACUGAAAGGUCAAAAACGAAGGCUACCUCCGACUUCAAAGAUCCCCUCCACAGCAGUAGAAAUGCCAGGCUCCACUGAUGUCCCUGGUAUAAACCUUCAGUUUGGAGCAUUGGACUUUGGCUCUGAGUCUGCUUUGCCAGAGUUUGGACUUGUGGACAGCGCUGUCAGUGCAGCAUCCAGGGAAUCCACUCCGGCCCCUGGCCCUGUUGCGCCCACAUCAGGACCAGGGACGCAGAGUCAGACAAGCAUGUACUCCAAACCACUCAGUGAGUCGCUUGGCAGUCCUCUCUCUGUCGACCUCCCUCUGCCCCUCUCCUCGUCUGAGCCAGUGUAUCACUCGUCCUCAGUGGCACUCCCCAGUCUCACGCCCUCUUCACUAGGGCCCGCCAACUCCAGCAAUCCUCCCUCGUCGUCGCUGACCACUUCUACCAUCUCGUCUUGCUCUAUACCGCCUUUCUCCACAGUGGGAGGAAGCUAUGAUGGGUCCCUGCCGCCUCAAGCACGUCUGGCCUUCUCCCAGAACAAAGAAGCCACUGGAACGGUUAUGGUGAGGAGAAAUGAUAUACAGAAGUUUAUCAUUCCUUCUAUUCAGUUUAAAUGGUCUGAAUGGAGUAAGGACAUCUGCAGCUUUAGACACGCCAACAUCAACUGCGCUCCCGCACUCUCCUCCCACUUAGCCCCCUCCACAUUGCCUGCACAGAGCUCCACCACGCUCUCCAGCCUGGCACAGGACCUUCCCUCAGCCGGCCAGCUCAACGCUCUCAACAGCCAUGUCAACAGUCAUUCCUCAGCUCUUGGCUCCAAUUCUCUCACCUACACAAGCAUUGACAGCAGCGUGAGCUCUCUCGCUCCCUCCUCCGCCUCCUACACUUUGUCACAACCACCACCUUCAGCGCUUCACUCAGUCCACAACAGUAGCAGCAGCUGCAUCAGCCACCUGGCGAGCAUGUCCAGCAUGGUCAACAUGAGCAGCAACGUCUGCGGUAUCGCAGGCACAAGCGGCCUUCACUCUGCUACCACCAGCACGGCGCUGGGACUUGGCUCCAAUGGAGCUACUGGCACAUCCAACCUCUCUGGACCAAGGACCACACCCCUGCUCUCCUCCUCCACUGGUAAAGCCCCGCCUAACCUGUCCCAAGGAGUUCCUCCUCUUCUGCCCAACCAGUAUAUCAUGGGUCCAGGGGGACUGCUGCCAGCAUACCCACAGAUUUAUGGAUAUGAGGAUCUCCAUAUGCUCCAGUCCAGACUACCAAUGCCCUCACUCCAGGAUUACUAUGGAAUCACAUUCCCUGGCCCCACUGCCACUCUGUCGAGCAGAGACGGGAGCCUCACCAACAACCUCUAUUCAGGAGGUGACAUCACAAAGUUUGGAAGGAAUGACUCCACCUCUCCAGCACCACCCACAAGCCUGUCAGCUCAGCAGCAGCCCCCACAGGGCCAAAAUCAAGGCCCGAGCCAGAGCCAGCCUCAGCCUCCUCAGGCCCAGCCUCAGCCGCAGGGCCAGCCACAGCACCACAGCAGUCAGCAGGCCUUCCUGCCUCCAGGCUACAGCUAUACAGGGCUGCCUUACUAUGCCGGCAUGCCCGGCGCCGUACCAAGUGCCGCAGCGUUCCAGUAUGGCCCCACCAUGUUUGUUCCUCCAGGGGGCCCAGGACCAGCCUCAGCAAAGCAGCACAGCAUGGGUCUCAGCCUGGGCAACCCGUCUGCAAGCCCCUUCCAGCAGCAGACACAACAGCAGCCCACUGGUUAUGGCCAGCACACCUUCAGCUCAGGUCAGUGACUUCACAACAGAUUCAGCGUCAUUAUUUGCCGCUUAUUAGUUUCCUUUUGUAUUAUAGUGGGACCGUGACUUACGAGUGUUCCAGUUUAGGGUAUUUUUGGUUGAUUUGUGUUGGGAGCAAAAAUGUAUGUUAUGAGCGAGCUUCAGAUUAGCUGGUGCUCGAGCGAAAUGGGGGGGAAAAAAGGGGGAACCACAGUCACUGAUCCACUGUCAGCCAUGUAUUGACCAGGUAAACUAUUACACACACAAAGACAAAAUGUGAACCCUCAGAAGGAGCAUGGAGCAGACCUCACACUGAACUAAUCAUGUGGUAAACAGCCAACCCAGCUCGUCUUCAGCUCCUGGUGGCACUCAGUAGGCCACACACCUUAAAGACACUCAUAAAUGUAUGUGUGUGUUUUGGCUUACUUACACUUUAAAAAACAAACAGGUCUGCACCUGCCAGGGGCUCAAAAGGGAGGUGGGCACAAGCCAUGGAGCACUAAGCGCUGGUCCCACGGCGGGGCUCGCGGCGUCCCCAUGAGCAACAACACCGGGUCGCAGUUCCCCACCGUGCUAUUGUCGACCAAAACAUGUCGGGCUGAUAUCGCAGCCACACACACACCAUUGGAGGUCAACCUCUAUCCAGGAGAGACCGCAGGAACUCCAGAACUGUGGGAACCGAGCAAAGCACUCAGUCCUGCCUGUGGUCUCCACAACCCCUGCAAACAAUGUCCACCAACUGGCAUAUCAAAGCCGUCGCCCUGGCGACCAGAAUGGUCCACCGGACAGGCUCCGCACAACUGCUCAGCAGAGAGUCAAGCCAUACAGCGGGAAAACCCAUAAGUGGAAGCAGUGAGGAUUGGGAUGCCAAGGCCUACCCCCAUGUCGGAACAACAGAUCAGUCCCGCCGGGGAGACACCAUGGUUCGGUCAAGCAAAGUUUGCGCAACAGGGAGAACCAUGUCCAGUCUGGCCAGAAAGGGGCCACCAGCAACAGUGACCCUCCUGAAGAACCCUAAGAAGCAUUAGCCAAACAGAGGUAGCGGUGGAAAGCCAGAAAGGAGGCAUCCCAGCCAAGGGUUCACCACCGCAUCUUCGCCCUGAGUUGAUUUCCCACAGAGAAAACCAAAGGGGACUGUCCGUCACAACGACAGCAGGCCCAUCAGUACCACAGCUGUCGUGGAUGUCAGCUGACUAAAAAGUUGCAGGAAAGCCAUGUACGGCAGCAAUCUGUCCUCCCAGAAGAGUGUGAGGAGGCAAAGAACGUCGUUCACCCAGUGAAAGGAUGGUUGAUCUGAUCCAGUCCCGCCACUGCAGCAUCAUCCAUGGGUGCGAAAACUCGUCCGUCCUCUGACAGCUGUGAGAGAGCCACAGUAUCUCCCCAGCAAGCAUGUAGCCCGUUCAAAUAGUCAUCUGAUGGGGGCACAGAAAGGGUAGGAAAGAGCCUCCAAUGCCUGAGGACGGCGAUCCCAGGAGCCAACCGAGUGCACUGUGGGACGCGCCAAGGCAUUGCACAAGAUACCCUGCACUGAGCUAUCAACUGCCCUGCCGGAGACACUGAAGCUGCCAGAGAAAUCACCACCCUGAGCAAGCCCUAGCACGGAGGGGUACACCCUGAACUGGUUGCCAGCCAAUCGCAGGGCACAUAUAAACAAUUAUUCGCACUCACAUUCACAGCUACAGGCAAUUUACAGUCUUCAAUUAACCUACCAUGUAUGUUUUGGGAUGUGGGAGGAAACCGGAGUACCCGGAGAAAACCCACGCAGGCACGGAGAGAACAUGCAAACUACACACAGGCGAGACCGGAUUUGAACCCGGGUCCUCAGAACUGUGAGGCAGAUGUGCUAACCAGUUGUCCGCCGUGCCGCCCAGUCUAUAGCCAUCCAGUCAGAUGCGUGGUGACAAUCGCACCCACAACACAAACGAUACGAGGAGCUGACCGCAGGACCAGCUGCAGUGGACUAUAGUAAAGGCUACAAUUCCUCCUCUCAGGCACAAGCCAAAUCUGCUGCU